UACGUAGGGUGCGAGCGUUGUCCGGAAUUACUGGGCGUAAAGAGCUCGUAGGUGGUUUGUCGCGUUGUUCGUGAAAACUCACAGCUCAACUGUGGGCGUGCGGGCGAUACGGGCAGACUGGAGUACUGCAGGGGAGACUGGAAUUCCUGGUGUAGCGGUGAAAUGCGCAGAUAUCAGGAAGAACACCAAUGGCGAAAGCAGCUCUCUGGGACGGUACUGACGCUGAGACGCGAAAGCGUGGGGAGCGAACAGG
rnacentral:rRNA from 1 species